rnacentral:rRNA from 1 species
AGUGAACGCUGGCGGUAGGCCUAACACAUGCAAGUCGAACGGCAGCACAGUAAGAGCUUGCUCUUACGGGUGUCGAGUGGCGGACGGGUGAGGAAUACAUCGGAAUCUACUUUUUCGUGGGGGAUAACGUAGGGAAAUUUACGCUAAUACCGCAUACGACCUAUUGGUGAAAGCAGGGGAUCUUCGGACCUUGCGCGAUUGAAUGAGCCGAUGUCGGAUUAGCUAGUUGGCGGGGUAAAGGCCCACCAAGGCGACGAUCCGUAGCUGGCCUGAGAGGAUGAGCAGCAACGCUGGAACGGAGACACGGUCCGGACUCCUGCGGCAGGCAGCAGUGGCGAAUAUUGGACGAUGGGAGCAAGCCUGAUCAAGCCAUACCGCGUGGGUGAAGAAGGCAUUCGGGUUGUAUAGCCCUUUUGUUGGGAAAGAAAAGCAGCAGCUUAAUCCCCCGCUGUUAUGAAGGGACCCAAAGAAUAAGCACCGGCUAACUUCGUG